UACGUAGGGAGCAAGCGUUGUUCGGAUUUACUGGGCGUAAAGGGCGCGUAGGCGGCAGAUCAAGUCAGCUGUGAAAUCUCCGAGCUUAACUCGGAACUGUCAGCUGAUACUGUUUUGCUAGAGUGCGGAAGGGGCAAUCGGAAUUCUUGGUGUAGCGGUGAAAUGCGUAGAUAUCAAGAGGAACACCGGAGGUGAAGACGGGUUGCUGGGCUGACACUGACGCUGAGGCGCGAAAGCUAGGGUAGCAAACGGG
rnacentral:rRNA from 1 species